UCCUCCAUUCUUAGCUCCGGCUUGCCUAGCGCAGGGCGCAUGGACACAUAACCAACGGCGACCACCGAGUAGAGACAUGCGGCGUCGAGUAAGUCACUGGGUGACGAAUAGAGGGACAGGCGCAGAGCCUAUCGCCAGAGCGCCCCUAGUGUAACGCACGAGGAGCGAAUUCAUCAAUUUUGAAGAAAUGAAUCGAACUCUACCGAAAAUCACGGGCAACCGUUUAACGAGCUCUACCUUGUCAGACACAGAUCUUGUUGCGGCGCGUCGUGUGCGGGAAAUCAGCGCCAUGCUAUAAAUAAAACGUGACUGCAAUCACCAUUUCAACCCAGCCAAUAAGGACGAGACCCAU
rnacentral:sRNA from 1 species